GUGAGGAAUAUUGGUCAAUGGGCGAGAGCCUGAACCAGCCAAGUAGCGUGAAGGAUGACUGCCCUAUGGGUUGUAAACUUCUUUUAUAAGGGAAUAAAGUGUCCCACGUGUGGGAUUUUGCAUGUACCUUAUGAAUAAGCAUCGGCUAAUUCCGUGCCAGCAGCCGCGGUAAUACGGAAGAUGCGAGCGUUAUCCGGAUUUAUUGGGUUUAAAGGGAGCGUAGGCGGGAGGUUAAGUCAGUUGUGAAAGUCUGCGGCUCAACCGUAGAAUUGCAGUUGAUACUGUCCUUCUUGAGUGCGGCAGAGGCAGGCGGAAUUCGUGGUGUAGCGGUGAAAUGCUUAGAUAUCACGAAGAACCCCGAUUGCGAAGGCAGCCUGCUGGACCGUAACUGACGCUGAUGCUCGAAAGUGCGGGAAUCAAACAGGAUUAGAAACCCUAGUAGUCC
rnacentral:rRNA from 1 species